GUUCCAAAUUGAGUAGCAGUUGCUGAAAAAAAUUAGCUCCUACAAAUAUUGAGAUUUACAUGGUUUUUAGAGUGAAGUAUAUUGCAAAAAGCAAAAGAAAACUGCAAGACUGAAUAGGAGAUAAAACAAGCAACAAACGAAGAAGGCAGGCUUUUGAAAAAGUAAUAAUUUUUCAUAAAAUUGUAGUUAUCUUAGCUAGCUGAAUUGUUUACCAGUUGCUAAGCAGUUGCUAGGGACUCUCCGAAAAGAAGCUAGCUAGCUAACAAAAAAUAGCUUGUUAACAAACGAAUAGAAAGACAAAAUAAGGACAGAAGACAAAGGACAUCAAAGGAAAACAGUCCUCUAAAGACACAAGAGACAAUAAUACAAGAAACUAUGCUGUUUUGGAAAAGGUAGGCUUAUAUUGCAACAUUGUAGCCAACAUCACCAGCGUUGCUAUGGAAAUUGUUUACCCACCAGACAUCCAAACAGAAAGCUAAGAAAAGCUUUGAUGAUGGGACAGAACCAUGAAUGCCUGUUUGCAGAUCUUACCAGUUGAGAAACAAGAGCAAAUGUAAUAUGUAAUUGCAAAUGAGGGCACAUAUGGAAAAGGGUUAUUUGCAACCAUUUCCUUUUCUCAAAAUAGAGAGGCAUCAGCCAAGGAUGUCAGAUCAGCAUUUUUGAAGAAGCUGACCAGAGCAACAUGUAUUAAACAGUGAACUUCUACAAUAAUGGAACUGUAUUGAUACAAGGCAAUAAUUCAAGCCUCCAGGCUUUAGAGAAUAUGUUUGCUACCCUAAAAGUAGAAUUUGAACUCAUCUCAGAAACUGAGGAAGAAGUAAAGGAAGGAGAUGAUGGAGAAAAGCAGGCCCCAAUGGUCUCUGUGACCCAGCAAGAAGCCCUCAGUGUCCCUCUACCUACCUCAUCUGCAGCAGACAGAGCCAAGGACAUGCCUACAGCACCAAGAACACCUGCUAUGCAACGAUUCCACAACACCCUCUCUCUAGUCGAAGCAGAGGUCAUAGAACUUAGAACAAGCUUCAAGAUGAGGACACUGUCCAGAAACGAAAUGAAGAGAUGAAACAGUUCAGGGAGGAGAGCAGAGCAUCUAUUGCUAAAUUGGAAAGCAGAAUGGACAAGCUGAGUCAGACAAAUGAUGACCUCAGAGACCAUCUGAGCACAACAAGAGAGGAGCUAGAACAGAGAGAGAGGUACAUUGACCCCCUCAACCAGCAGCUAGUUAUUAUGUCCUCUGCAUCAAGAGAACAUGUCCACCAGCUUGGUACAACCCAGGCAGAGCCUGAGACCAGCAUAACCAGCAUGGCCUCCACCACACAGCCUGAUGACACUGCACCAGCCUACCAGUCUGCUCCAGCCCAGGUCAGCCAACCAGCUUCCCAGUCUGUUCCAACACAGUCUGCUCCAACACAGUCUGCUCCAGCCUAUGUCAACCUACCAGCCUCCCAGUCUGCUCCAGCCCAGGUCAGCCAACCAGCUUCCCAGUCUGUUCCAACACAGUCUGCUCCAACACAGUCUGCUCCAGCCUAUGUCAACCUACCAGCCUCCCAGUCUGCUCCAGCCCAGGUCAGCCAACCAGCCACCCAGUGUGCUCCAGCCAGACAAUCACCCACAACUGCAAUCCUUAUUGAUUCAAAUGGGAAGUUCUUAGUCCAGGAAAGAUGAUUCCCUAGAAACCAGAUGUAUAAGGUCUGUUGUCCUACAACUGACAGUGCAAUGCAGCUACUCAGUCAGACCAGGGUUGACACCCUUGACAACAUCAUCAUCCACACAGGCACAAACAACCUUCAUUCCAAAGGUGGAAAUGUAUCUGGGGCAGUGAGAAGAGUGGCAGAACGGGCACAGGCUAUGUUCCCAACAACCAAUAUAGUUGUGUCCACCCUCUUACCAAGAAAAGACUUCCCAGGACAGUUGAUGGACAAAAUAAAUCAACAGAUCACUAUGGACUGUGCCUCACUGCUCAACGUCAGAACGGCUCACCAUCCCACUCUGACAUGUCAACACUUAUACCAUAAUGUACAUCUUGAUCAGGACAGUAUCAGAACCUUUGUUAUGGACCUAAAGAAUGGAACACUUGGCAGGGACCCACACACCCAUCACCCCAGCAGCAGAGGCCCCCCGCUCCACCUUCUGAAACAACAAUACCCCCACCAUCCCCAGGAGAGAAGAGCCAGACAUGGCUUAUUACAGCACAGCUCUACUAGACCAGGCCCAUCACAACACAGCUCUACUAGACCCGGCCCAUCACAACACAGCUCUACUAGACCCGGCCCAUCACAACACAGCUCUACUAGACCCCAUCACAACACAGCUCUACUAAACCCGGCCCAUCACAACACAGCUCUACUAGACCCCAUCACAACACAGCUCUACUAAACCCGGCCCAUCACAACACAGCUCUACUAGACCCGGCCCAUCACAACACAGCACUACCAGACCCGGCCCAUCACAACACAGCUCUACUAGACCAGGCCCAUCACAACACAGCUCUACUAGACCCCAUCACAACACAGCUCUGCUAGACCAGGCCCAUCACAACACAGCACUACUAGAUCCAGCCCAUCACAACACACCACUGACCACUACUCCAGGGUCGGGCAGAACACUGUUCUUCAGAGAAGUGGACCACAUGAUGCAUUCCACACCAUGUGUCAUUCAGAUCAUCAGCCUACAUAUGCUGAGGUAACCUCUGGCAAAAGACACCUAGAACAAUCAGAGAUUGGAGAGGUGCGCCAACUACUGCAUCUAAUAUGCAGACUACUGUGCUAGACAGACACUUUAAUCUUUAAUUCACACGCACACACACACACACACACACACACACACACACACACACACACACACACACACACACACACACACACAUUCACAUACACACACACAUACACAGGGUUGCAGAUUGCAUUGUACUGUACUUUUUUGUGCAAUCUUAUUCCAUUCUUAUUCAUUUGUUUACAGCUAUUCUUUAUUUUAUUGGCACUGAUAUUAUAAUAAUAAUUAUAUGUAAUGGUGUGUGUGUGUGUGUGUGUGUGUGUGUGAAACAUGGUGUCAUGGAGACAUAGAAACUCAGUGUCCCUCAGGCUAUAGAGAAAGUUUACUACCAUCAAUCAAACAUAAAAAUAUUAAAUGGGGCCAGGACUCAGGUGGAAUAAUCAUUUGGCAUAAGCAGGACUUAGCACUGAAUAAAAUGAAACCACAUUUGGCUAUAACUUAACAAAGGUACAAUCUAUUGCGACAAUGAUGUAUACAUAUGUGCAGCUUAUGCUCCUCCUUCAGAUUCAUCAUAUUAUGAUGAUCAGUUUUUUGACAAUCUCCAUACAGAAAUCAUUUAAUUUCAGGCAGAAGGUAAAGUGCUUCUUUGUGGAGAUUUCAAUGCAAGAACAGGUUCUGAGCCUGACUACACUGAUACGGGAGGUAACCACCACAUAUUUGGACACCCCUCCUUGUACAGCAGCCCUAUUAUAAAUAAUAGAAACAGUCCUGACCAAAUAUUCAACAAAAAUGGGAAGGAGUUAGUGCACCUCUGUCGAGCCUUAGGCCUGUACAUGCUUAAUGGUAGAAUUAGAGGGGACUCUUUAGGUCGGUUUACUUCCUGCUCAGCUCUUGGGACAAGUGUAGUCGAUUAUGCCAUCACUGACUUCGACCCCUCCUCCAUUAGUGCAUUCACUGUCAGACCACAGACACCAUUGUCAGAUCACAGUCAGAUCAACGGGUUUCUGAAGAAAUUAACCGGCAAUAUUCAUUCAAAAAAAGAGCCCAAUAAACUCUACAACAUAAACCAAUCGUACAGAUGGGCUCAAAACAGUGCAGAGAGAUUCAUUGAAACAUUGAACUGAAAUGAAAUGACGAACUCUAUACAGUUCUUCAAUAACUCACAAUACCAAAACAAUAAAGAAGGUGUCAAUUCGGCUACUCAAAACAUUAAUUGCAUUUUCCAAAAAGAAGCAUCAAAAGCAAAUUUGAGAAAACCAAAGAAAUGCAACAUUAGAAACAAAAAUCAAAAUGUUUCUGAAAAAUGUUUUGACAGCGAAUGUAAAACAAUUAUAAAACAUCUAAGACAAAUGUCAAAUGAAAAACAUAAGCAACAAAACAACCCAGAAGUACCUUAUGAAUACUUUGAAACUCUGAAACAGUAUAAACCUACACUGAAACGCAAGAAAUGUAAUUAUACCAAUAAGACUCUUCAUGAAAUUGAAAACGCAAUUGACCAAAAUCAGUUCUGGUACAUGUGGAACAGUUUAAGCACGACAAAGCCACAAGAAUUAGCCAUACAAGAUGAAGGAAUUUGGAAAACUUAUUUUGAUAAUCUAUACAAAAACAACCCACAAAAAGACUUACAACAUAACCAAUUAGAAAUUCAAGAAAAAUGUUACAUCCUUGAUUCAGUCAUUAAAAAUAACCAAAAUCCAUUAGAUUACCCAAUAACCCAACAAGAACUAAAUGAAAAGAUCAUAUCUAUAAAAUUAAAGAAAGCUUGUGGUCUAGAUAACAUCAGAAAUUAAAGUUUCAAAAUGCUGUGCUUAAAUUGUUCAACAUGGUAUUAUUAUUCAAGAAUUCAAAUCUUUCUUCAAGAAAAAAAUGUAAUAAGUAAAUGUCAAAUUGGCUUUCUCCCUAACCAUCGCACUACUGACCAUAUAUACACCUUACACACACUAAUUAAUAAACACGUCCACCGAAAAAGAGAGGGAAAAAUCUUUGCUUGCUUUAUUGACUUUAAAAAAGCAUUUGAUUCUAUUUGGCACAAAGGGCUACUUUACAAAAUUCUCCAAAGUGGGCUUGGUGGUAAGAUGUAUGAAAGAAUAAAAUGUAUGUACACAGAAAACAAGUGUGCAAUAAAAAUCCAAAACCAAAGAACAUAAUUAUUUUCACAACAUCGAAGUGUGAGACAAGGCUGCAGUUUGAGUCCAAAUCUUUUCAACAUUUAUAUCAAUGAAUUAGCAGCCAUGUUGGACCAUUCUCCAGCCCCAGGACUUACACUAUUUGACACAGAGGUAAAAUACCUGCUAUAUGCUGAUGAUUUGGUACUCACCAACCAAAGAAGGUCUUCAACAGAACCAUAACAUUCUAGAGCAAUAUUGCCAUAAUUGGGCCCUGGCAAUACAUUUAAAAAAAAAACUAAAAUCAUGAUUUCCCCCCCAAAAAACAGAUGUCAGAAACACAAAUAUAAAUUCACCCUGAACAACACCAUAAUUGAACACACUAAAAAUUACUCGUACCUUGGUCUGACCAUAUCUGCAUCGGGAAACUUUAGUAUGGCAGUGAAUGUACUCAAAGAAAAAGCCUGCAGAGCAUUGUAUGCAACAAAAAUGAAAUUAUUCAAAAUCAACAUCCUAAUUAGAAUUUGGACCAAAAUAUUUGACUGUAUAAUCCUACCAAUAGCUCUUUAUGGAAGUGAGGUUUGGGGGCCACUCAAUAAACUGGACUUUAAAAUGUGGGACAAACAUCCAAUUGAAGCCCUACGUGCAGAAUUCUGUCGGAAAAUUCUACAAGUCUAGAGAAAUACACCAACUGAUGCAUGUAGGGCAGAAUUGGGCCGCUUUCCAGUGGUAAUGAAAAUACAGAAAAUAUCAUAAUUUUUUUUGCUACAUCUAAAUUCAAGUCUGCAAUUUAAAGCACCAAACCCAAGAGCUGGGCCCAGAAACAAUCCCUCUCAGUAAGCUGGUGAUGGACCUAACCAACCAAGCUGACACCAGCACUGCUUCAAAAGAAAGAACAAAAUCAUGAACCAAUUAAAGGACUCAUAUUUACAAAAUUGGAAAAACGAAACAAAAUCCCAAAGACGACUAAAUUGCUAUCUGGCACUAAACAGAGAAUAUGAAUUGGCUGAUUAUCUCUACUCUGUCAGAGAUACGAAGCAGAGACAGAUCCUUACCAAGUACAGGCUGAGUGACCACCAAUUGCCAAUAGAAACCGGCAGACAUAUAAAGACAUGGCUACUCAAAGAGGAGUGUGUAUGUGGUCACUGCACGACAGGGUAGGUAGAAAGAGAGAUGCACUUUCUCCUUUACUGUGAUAAAUAUUCCUCACCAAGAUAUUAAUUAUUCACAGAAAUGACUACAUUUAUUCCAGAUUUUAACAUAUUAAUCUCAGAGGAAAAACUAAAAAUACUCAUUGGUGAAGGAGCAAUGGCUCCUCUUUCAGCCAAAUAUGUAUUUGCCUGCCAUAGCCUGAGGGAUACUGAAUAAUAACAUCUGCAUAGUAAACAGUAACUUACUUAUUAUUAGUAUUAUUGUCAUUACUAUUAUUGUUAUUACUAUUAUUAUUGUUGUUGUGAUUAUUAUUCCAAAUAGUAGUGGUACGGGUA
rnacentral:lncRNA from 1 species